CCCCCCGACUUACCUAGAGACAAUCCAGGAGUGCCCUCGGCCCCGCCCACAAACCCAACUCUGAGUCUGAUUGGACGGCAACAAAGGGAGGCUCCGCCUAUAGUUCCAGGAUAACGCCCUCCGCCCCCUCUCUACUAGAACUUUUUUCUGGUUCCUCCCAGACGAGGCCCCCGUGUGGUCGCGUUGGGGUGGAGGGGGUGGGGUCUCGGUGGAGGAGAAAGAUGGGAGCUUAGCUCCUGGGAACUGGCGUGGAAGAUGGCUGGGGACUUGGUCUUGGGUCUGAUGGAGGAGGCGUGCGGACCCCUGGGUCCCUGCUUGAGGCCCCAACAGCACCCGGCGCCCUGGCUCCGUCGGCCUGUGCAUCUCAGCCAGGUGGCCCUGCCACGCCGAAGGGACCCGGGUUCCCAGUCUAUCCUUCUAGGACAGGAGACCCGCCCCAGAGCUCUCCUCUCGGGAAGCCAAAACUGAGAAUCUGACCGGAGAAAAGGAAUCCGAUAUUUAGACAACCAGAUAAAUCUUUAUUUAAGCCUUGGUGCUGUGGCCUUUUCCUCGUUCGGUACCUUGGGAAGCUGGGUCUGUGACACCUGGGUCUGUGAUAGCUGGGUCUGUGACAGCCGACUUUGUGGACCCUGGUCCUCGGGGGCUGCUGCCUUGUCGGUACGGACCCAGGACUUGACCGAAUCGAUCAGGGUCCCAGACCUAAAGCAAAGUACGCUGGGGAAGGGUGGGGUGCAAUCGUGUAAGCAGGUUAGUUCUUGAGUGAGGGACACCCCUCCCAGCCUCCCUAUAUCUGAUCCUUUCUGUGACCCAAGCUUCGCCGCCCUGGGUAAGCACGCCCCUCUUUUCUAAGCCCCUCCCCCUAACACCUCCUCCUACCUUCGGACGUUGGAGACCCCGCCCCUCGCCCCAAGCCCCGCCUUCUCCGGGAGGCGGCUCACGAGGUGGCAAAGCCGAGGAUCAGAAACACAAAGCCCCAGAUCAGCAUCUCGAACAGAAAGCCUCUCAGCGCGUCCUUGGGAUUCGGACACUCUGACGGCUUGAGGGAUCGAAACCGCUGAUACUGGGUCCCGGGCUUUGAUUUCGGGAUCUCCUCAAUGACUCUUUUGGGCAACACUGACAGAGGAGAGAGAAGGGGCAGUGCUGGGAGGGCCGGUCGUGGCCCAGGCAAGCUCUGUCCACGCCACCCUUCCCCAGGACCCAGGCCUCCCAGGAGAUAAACACGCCCCUCACUGCCUGAAGCCAGGCCACUGUGAGAGGCGGCCGCACCCUGGGCAGGAAGCCACCCCCCGUUGGCCUGAAACCACACCCCGACAGAAAGUUAGGCCCCCCAGGGCGCUCGCUGAAGCUGACUGCCCCCCAUACCCAGGACCCUGAGUCCCAUACGUCUGCCGACCACCAGCUCUGACCUGUGACUUCAAAAUGGAUGACCGUGGCUGGGCCGGAUCGCUCAGUGCCCAACUCGCAGCGGUAGUUACCCGCAUCCUCUGGCCUCACCAGUCGCUUGAUCAGCGUGGGCCGUUUCCCCUCGGACACCAAGGUCUCAGAAUUGCUCCCCCAAACCUAGACCCAAGCUCAAGGGGUCACAGAGGCCUGGGGAAUUCAGGGUUUGGGGCCGUACAGGUGUGAGGGCAUCACGGGCUCUCAGUGGGGGAGAUGGGAGUCCAGGGUCACUGGUAAGGGCAUGGGGUCCCCGGGGAUCCGUAGAAGUCAAACCUGGUGGGUCAUGGGUCAUGGGGAUUGUGGCAACAAGCUUGUGGAUGAGGGGGUCGGCGCUCACACAAGCCUUAUGGACUUGGGGUUAAAGGGCCCACCCUGUAAAAGCUGUAAUAGGUCAGGCCUUGAGAUAAUUUAUGCCAGUCGAGCUCACAGUCCAGGAUCAGGUCUUCCGUUUCAUGGACGUUGAUUUGGCGCACUGGGGACAGGAUUUACGGUGGGACCCUUCUUCAAGGUUUUCCUGCCCUCCCGCCAGUGCCACCCACUUUGUCUAGGCCCCCCUUUCUGUCUCCACCCUCCGCUCCAGUCCCCGCCCUCUCUAGGCCAAGUCUCUCCUCUGGCUCCGCCCCUCCUGCGCCAACCCCUGCGGCUGGCCCCAGCUCUCUCACCCCCGCAAUCUCUGUAUUUUCGACAAACGUGAAGCUGCUUUUUACAGUUACUGCACCAGAUCAGAAGCUGCAACAUUGUACCUGAAGGGACAGGAUCCAGGCUGUAUUCGCCCUGAGAGGCGAGGCUAAAAGGAGAGGGCAGGGCCAAGUUCUGGGGCGGAGUCAGGCCCCUAAUCCCUAGAGGUCAGCCCAAGGGGCGGGGCUAGAAGGCAGUCCUCCCUGAAGAGGGGUGUAACCAAUCUCAGGAAAGAGCGCCCAGAGAAGGGGACCCGCUAUCCAGGAAGUCCGCUGUGCAGAAGGACUACUGGGGACCAGGAACCCCUCAGACGUGGGGAAGGAAGAACCACCGAGACCCAAAGCCGGAGGAGAAAGGCUGGGUAUUCACGGGGCAAGGAUGAAGGAUACAAAACCAGUUCCGGUAAUCCGGACUCACCACAUUUGUUGGGACAGAAAUCUGCCUCAGAAGGAAGAAAAAACAAAACAAAAACAAAAAAGGAUUAUCAGAUUCCUGUUAAUGGGAUGAGAGGGGGCGAAAAGGAAUAGGUUGGGGGUUGUGCUCUUGGGUUGGAGGGAAGAAGGACCCGGGUGUCUGAAUCUCUGGGUCCAAGGAAGGACCGGGUCGGGAGAGGUGAGUGGUUGGACAUAGAAAGCAGGGGGCUGGGGACAGGGUCCCUGGGCCUGUUGGGGGAAGGGGCCGUGGUCCCUGACGGAAGCCAUCUUCCCUCACCCUCUCUUUGGAAUCGAGUGACGUAGCCACGAAAGGCUGCCUUUUCCAGAGUCAACAUCCAGGAGAACUCCUUCACGAAAGUGUCAUCUGGGAAGGAGCAGGGUGACAUAGAGUGGUACCCCUCCCCCGCCCACCCCAGGAGGAGAUGCAGGAAGUUUGCCUCCAUCUGAAGAGGGUUAGGGUUUGGGGCCAUCUCAGGGAGGGACAGUGACAUUGAAUGACCACUUAACAAUGCGGGCCACUGAGCUAAGCGGCGCCUGGCCUGCAGGCACUGUUAGGACCCAUUUGAGAGGUGACAAAGUUGCAAAGUCCCUCCCUACAGGCCAUAGAGCUAGGGGAUGACCGGCCCGGAAUUUGAACCGAGGCAGGUGGCCUCCAGAGCCACCACCAGACCUGUCCUCACCAACAAUCAUUUCUCGAAAAGAUUCUGGAGCCCCUCCCGCGGCCCCUGUGUGGAUUUACCUGCUGCCCCACUGUUUCUGAUAAGUCUCACACUCCUCAGAAAACUCAAGACUGACGUUUCCAUCGUGGCCUCAUCUGGAGGGACACAGAGGAUGCGGGGAGGGGAGCUAGAACCUCAGAUUCCAAGCCUUGAGGUCUCUUGGCUCAGCAGGUGUUCAAAACUACAAUACCCAUGAGGCUACUGGACCAGCCCAGGGCUGUAAAUGGCUGGCACGCCCGCUGCCUUCUGGGAGUUGUAUUUUUUUUCCCCACAUAAAAUUGCCACGUAAGGACUAGGGGAAAGUGUAUUGGUCUGCCCUGGGGAAGGCCUGGAAUCUGCAUCCCAGCCUUCUCCAUUCACGAACCCAGUACAGUCUCCCUCCAGUCUUUCGCUUCCUUCCCUCCUGCCCGCUCCCGCAACCAUCCUAGAACGCAGACCCCUCUUUUCCCUCGACCCCUGGAUUCGCACUCUCUACCCUGCCCUCACCGAUAACCCCCAGAAAGGUAUCCUCUAAAUCUGGCAGGUCCCGGAAAUUCCUCACGGUUUGUCUUAUCUUUUCCAUCACUUCUCUGUGACGCUCGGGCGCCAGGUGGGUAGGCAGGUAUUCCUUUUCCAAGGCGUCCAGCGCGGCCACGACCCUUCGAUCGCAAGUGACACAGCUCCGGGCAAGAAGCAGGCAGCCGGCUAGCGCCACCACCAGGAGGGCAACUUGGGGACCCAUUUCCCCAGGGCGCUCAGCCCCAGCAGAACCCCGGGGAGGGUCCACCCACCCCACACGGAAGGGGUGAUCGCUGACCGGAAAGAACCUCUUCCCCGAGAGUAAGACCCCCCAAUUUGCAGGGCUCCCCCUUCUCGGUUAGGAAACCGAGGAGUCCGGAGUCCCGAUGCACCCUAGACAGCCGCUGCCCGACCUUGACCUUGAAUGUUGCACCCUGGAAUACUAGGGUUCGCUGAAGGGCCGAAUCCAGGCUGGGGGCCUUUAGAGGGGACGAUAGGGUCACGUCCUUCCACUCUAUUUGCCACGGCUAAAAUUGAGGACGUUUCUGGAGCGAAGGUGAGGUUGGUCACGUGACGUGGAGAGCUUUAUGACUGGAGUCAGACUCGAAGGUCGCCUCAAUCCCACAGAGUCCCUCUUCUUCCUUUCUCCUUGGGGCGCCGACUUCUCAAGAGACACUCUGGGCGAGUUUCCUUGGCCCCGCCCACAAACCCAACUCUGAGUCUGAUUGGACGGCAACAAAGGGAGGCCCCGCCUAUUGUUCCAGGAUCUCGCAGACCGACCCCUCUCUGACUAGAACUUUCAUCUGGGCCUCCCCGAUGAGGCCCUUGUGUGGUCGCGUUGGGGUGGAGGGGGCUGGGGUCAGACUAAGGAGUCUGGGUGGAGGAGAAAGAUGGGAGCUUAACUCCUGGGAACUGGCGUGGAAGAUGGCUGGGGACCGGCUCUUGGGUCUGACGCAGGAGGGGUGUGGACCCCUGGUCCCGCGGUUCUUACUCUGCUUCGGGUCCCCCCAGCACCUCGGCGCCCUGUCUUCGUUGACCCGGGACAGGAGGCGAGCCCCAGACCUCUCCUCUCGGAAAGCUAAAAUGAGGAUCAGACCCGAGGAAAUGAAUCCGGUAUUUAGGCAACCAGAUAAAUCUUUAUUUGUGA